CAGCAUGGAGAGCAGAGCGCAAAGAUUUCUUCCGGACUCCCACAUUCCCCUUGGAAUCCAAGAACUGGUCUACUGUCACAACACUUUAGUACCCUCUUCUCCCAAGGAGGCAGCAGAAACUGGGGUAAUCACAACGGUCAACAGCAGCAAAGGCAGCACUUUCUGAUUUACUUGACUGCUAUGGAUGCCACCUCUCUCCACGCCUCAGUUUAAUAUCUGAGGCCCUGUAAGGCAGCUUCAGACAACGGGCUCCACCUCAGCAGGAGCAGCUGGGAGCCUGGGCUCUUCUUUCUGAAACUGCCUUCAGAGUUGGAUGGAAGAAGGGCAAUUGCCAAAAACCUGGCUGAAUCUGUGCUCAGGUGGAAUUUUCUAUCUCAGCUGCUGCUGAAAUCAAAGAUGAGCUCAGGCACUGGUCUUCCAAGAUGUCAAAGCACAAGUCCUUUCAGAAAGUGAACUCACGUGGACCCCAACUAUGUGAAAUUGCUGCAUUUGGAGCUGCUCUGUCCCAGUGGUGUGGGCAGCUUUCUGCUGGACUCUUCUAGCCACAGGGAGGAUACCCUUCCUCCCAGGAUAGCCCCCAAGGCACUGUGUCUGAAAGCCCCUUAUUUUGAAGAGAAGAAAAAUAAAGUCCUAAAAUGUUGAGGUGACAUCUUAGCUUGGGUUCCCCACAAAACAGAGCCAGAGGCAAAGGCUUGGGUGCCAGUAGUUUAUCUGAAGGUGAUUCCAGAAAAUAGAAGAAAGAGUGGGGGGAAAGAAGCAAGGAAAGAAGGAAUGCUGAGAAAUAAUGUGUUCUCCAGAUUGCAGGCUGGAUUCUUCCAUAGCCCCCAGAGAAGAGGUCUAAGGCCCUCUGAG
ensembl:lncRNA LAMTOR5-AS1 LAMTOR5 and SLC16A4 antisense RNA 1